rnacentral:rRNA from 1 species
GACGAACGCUGGCGGCGUGCCUAAUACAUGCAAGUCGAGCGGACUUGACAGAGCUUGCUCUGUUCAAGUUAGCGGCGGGCGGGUGAGUAACACGUGGGCAACCUGCCCUGCAGAUUGGGAUAACUCCGGGAAACCGGGGCUAAUACCGAAUAACAUUGGAAACCUCAUGGUUUCCUUUUAAAAGGCGGCUUCGGCUGUCACUGCAGGAUGGGCCCGCGGCGCCUUUGCUAGUUGGUGAGGUAACGGCUCACCAAGGCGACGAUGCGUAGCCGACCGGAGAGGGUGAUCGGCCACACUGGGACUGAGACACGGCCCAGACUCCUACGGGAGGCAGCAGUAGGGAAUCUUCCGCAAUGGACGAAAGUCUGACGGAGCAGCGCCGCGUGAGUGAAGAAGGUUUUCGGAUCGUAAAACUCUGUUGUCAGGGAAGAACAAGUACGGGAGUAACUGCCCGUACCUUGACGGUACCUGGCCAGAAAGCCACGGCUAACUACGUGCCAGCCGCCGCGGUAAAAC